UCCCCGAUAGCUCAGUUGGCUAGAGCGUUCGACUGUUACCAGCAUUGCUGUAAUGGUUCUUCUUCAAGAUAUCGAGAGGUCGAUGGUUCGAGUACGUUACUCUUCUCUUAGGAG